rnacentral:misc_RNA from 1 species
GGCACAACAUGCAAGUGGUGGGGAACAUGAGAGCAGGGAUGGAGGUGGGGAGUGGCAGGGCUGCGAGUUCUUGGCUAGGGUUGGGAGCAGCCGAAGACGGGCGGACGCGGCCGAGGUUCAAAAGCGAGUUGGAGAAAGGCUUCGGGUCCGAAACACCGUGCAUGCAUCGGCGCGCCGCCGUACGAGGGAAGCGCGGAGAGAGCUUCAAAACAGGUCAGGUUUUAAUAGAGGAGAUAACGAGUGCGCCAAACCUGUGACAUCAUGUGCGAUUCCCAUCCAUAUAAGAGCAGAGCAAGAAAACACUGGGCCUGCCUA